rnacentral:rRNA from 1 species
UACGUAGGGUGCAAGGGUUGUCCGGAAUUAUUGGGCGUAAAGAGCUCGUAGGUGGCCUGUCGCGUCGGCUGUGAAAACUCGGGGCUCAACUCCGAGCUUGCAGUCGAUACGGGCAGGCUAGAGUUCGGCAGGGGAGACUGGAAUUCCUGGUGUAGCGGUGAAAUGCGCAGAUAUCAGGAGGAACACCGGUGGCGAAGGCGGGUCUCUGGGCCGAUACUGACACUGAGGAGCGAAAGCGUGGGGAGCGAACAGG